UACACUAGAUGGCAGCAUUCCACUAACUCUUACAGACUCCUUCUCGGCAGCUAAUCUCAAUUUCUUCUUCUCUCUUCUUUCUUUCUUCUUCUCUUCUUCUUUCCUCCAUUAGAGCUUGUUUUUGGAGCUUAAUUUUGAUAGCUUUCUAGAAAGAUUUUGGGGCUGCCAUAAGAACAUAAAAUGUUCCUUGGAGAGAGGAUUUUCCAUUGAUGUAAAAAAAUCCACACCAUUCCUUCAUAGCUGAAUUCUAAAAUUACCUUGGAAAUGGGCUGUUGGUUGGUGUUUCAAAGAGGAAGUUACUCCUCUUUCUUUCUCCUUUCCAUUGGUGAAUCUGGUUAAUCAAUUGGAGGCUAUUUGGUGGGUCUUAGCUUGAAUUAGGUCAUGGAAAGGAGGUCGUUGAAGACAUCCCUCCGCAAGCUUAGAUGGAAUUAAACUUUCACAUAUGACUUUUCUUUUGUAUCACUGUAUAUGUUAUAUCUAUGUGGAGUCUUGUAUAGUUUGAUCAUGUAAUAGCAGUAGUACUUAUCUUAAAGUCCUGUAAUUAAUGGACUCUAAGGACUUAUGUUUUGGGAUGUA